AUUGAACGCUGGCGGCAUGCCUUACACAUGCAAGUCGAACGGCAGCACGGGAGCAAUCCUGGUGGCGAGUGGCGAACGGGUGAGUAAUGUAUCGGAACGUGCCCAGUCGUGGGGGAUAACGCAGCGAAAGCUGUGCUAAUACCGCAUACGAUCUACGGAUGAAAGCGGGGGAUCGCAAGACCUCGCGCGAUUGUAGCGGCUGAUAUCAGAUUAGCUAGUUGGUGGGGUAAAAGCUUACCAAGGCGACGAUCUGUAGCUGGUCUGAGAGGACGACCAGCCACACUGGAACUGAGACACGGUACAGACUCCUACGGGAGGCAGCAGUGGGGAAUUUUGGACAAUGGGCGCAAGCCUGAUCCAGCAAUGCCGCGUGCAGGAUGAAGGCCUUCGGGUUGUAAACUGCUUUUGUACGGAGCGAAAAGGCUCUCUCUAAUACAGGGGGCUUAUGACGGUACCGUAAGAAUAAGCACCGGCUAACUACGUGCCAGCCGCCGCGGUAA
rnacentral:rRNA from 1 species